AAGAAAUCUCUUACCCUAUCCGCACACAUCAUCUCUUCUUCCUCUCCUCUUACCAAAUUCCCAAAUGUGUUUGCCUCAGCCGCUGGACUUCUCCACCCUGGUGCCGCUGCUCCCUAAUCAAUCUCACUGGUGCCGCUGUUCUCGCCCAUCUCUGACCUUCUACUCCGGUGCCUCUUCGUCCCGCACCCUUUCUUCCCCGGCUGGAGGGUGCACAUCGGGGAUGAGGAGCACGCAGGGAACUCGAGGUCGCGCCGGAGCCCGGAUGCGUGGCUGCGCGCAGUGAGGAACACGACAUCCUCUCGCCCGUCCCCUCUUCUACCUGGGAGCUUCCCGUGGGACGAGCAGGUUUUCUCUCUUGACUCCUGGACUUGGACGCAGACCUGGCUGUGCGUGUGGCCGUGGGGGUUGGCCGGUGGCACGGUUGGCGGCGGCCGCUCGUCUAUUUACUGCCGCACGCAGGCACGCCGAGGCCGUGUGCAAUGAGGAACACUGCAUCCUCUCGCCUUUCUUCAAGUUCCAAACUAUUCGCAGGUGCACUGCUGAAAAUUCAGUAGAACAUGGUGCUCCUCGAAAUACUGGUCAUCUGGAACUUCGGCAACCUUUGGCUUUUCAAGUUUGGCAGUCCGUUAAAAAGCAACUCUAUCCAACUGAGAAGAUCACUAUACUUACCAAUGGACCUCUUACAAAUUGGGCCAACAUUGUUCUCUCUGACAAGAAUGCAAGUCCUGUAAUAGAGAGUGUAUAUGUUGUUGGAGGACAUGCCAGAGAUGAAAAUGAUUAAAACGGAAACGUGUUCACUAUUCCAUGUAAUAGAUAUGCGGAAUUUAAUACAUUUCUUGAUCCCUUAGCUGUGAUAGUAGUUCUAGAGUGCACUCUGGAUAUUACAUUGAUUCCCCUCAGCUCUCAGAGAAAAGUGCUUCCUUUCCACCUCUCCUUGAAGCACUAAAGCAUGCUCAACAUACUCCAGAAUCAAGUUUUGUCCUCCACUUAUUGUCAUUGCUUCCUUUCCACGUCAUCUUUCCAUCCUUCCAUUGCGUCUUGAAGAGCAAUGUUCAGGUAGAAUGAUAUUUCUGUGAUGGGUCCUGUUUUAUGCAUGUUCAUGCUAGGAAUGGGAUCAAGCAGAGUAUUAUGACAGGUUUUACAGGGAAAUAAUCAGCCUUUGGAUACACAUAUUAUCUAGGGACAUUUCACUGUGGGACUAUAUGUUAUAAUCAACCUUAGUAUAGGAUCCACCCUAAUAUUUUAUUAUCUGAAUUCACCUACAUGCUACACUAUUUAUACGGCACUGGCAACUAACAUGGAAUUUCCUUUGAUGUUUUGUAUGUACCACAAAUUUAGCACAUUUCGGGCAAAUGAAAUAAACCUUUGAAUAAGCAUAUUUAGAGGGGAGACAACCAUUAUAGGAUCCACCCUAAUAUUUCAUUAUCUGAAUUCACCUACAUGCUACAGUAUCUAUACGGCAGUGGCAACUAACAUGGAAUUUACUUUUGAUGUUUUUAUGUACCACAAACUUAGCACAUGUAUGGCAAAUGAAAUAAAUCAGUGAAUCGGCACAUUUGAGGCAAAAGUCAACAUCAUCUACUUUGGGUCAAGGGAUAUGCAGGAGCUGCAAAAGCUUUUGCAAUUCCAUGAAAGAAAAGAAGAGUUACAAAAGAUUGUUAAUCCAUGCCAUGAACACAUCAGCAUGUUUACUCCUCACGCUAUGCACAUGUAUGGUGGACUCAUGAAUAAGCACAUUCAGAUGUAUUGUAACUGAAAGUGUACUCCUCACGCUAUGCACAUGUAUGGUGGACUCAUGAAUAAGCACAUUCAGAUGUAUUGUAACUGAAAUACUACCUGGUGUUAUCCAAGCCCUCCAUGGUUGCUGCUGCUGCUGUCUACACAGCCAGGCUCACACCUAAAAACAUACCUCUGUGGACCGACAUGCUCAAGCAUCAUACUGGAUUCAGUGAAUCACACUACUACUGCUGCCUACAUGGUGUGGUGCGACCCCAUAGGAAAACAUCAUCUUUCCAUCCUUCUAUUGCGUCUUGUAGAGCAAUGUUCAGGUAGAAUGAUAUUUCUUUGAGCUUGAAUACAUAUUUGUGAUGGGUGCCUGUUUUAUGUAUGUCCGUGCUAGGAAUGGGAUCAAGUAGAGUAACGGUUCGUUGAUCCAGGUUGAACACAAAUAGAAUGUAGUGUUGGCCAGACAUACGAUAUGGUAUGAAAAUCUGCAUAGAAUAAGCGCAUUGAAUUAUUACCACUGUUGCAACAAAAAUCCUAUUAUUUUCCAAUCGCAGUCUUACCGAGUUGCAGGCUGACACAUGGAACUCCAUCCCCGGCCAGCAGUCACACAUUCUUGCCAUCAUCUGGUGCUUUUGGUCAAACGGUAGACGUUGCUUUGGGUCUCGCAUGGAGUCGGUCACCAUGGUCUGAGAUGAAUUCGUGGAGUCGGUCACCAUGGUCUGAGAUGAGUGUAAGAAUCAUAGGUUGUUAUUUAAGAUAACAUGUGGUUAUCAUUAAUUACGAAGUAAAACAUCAAUACUCACGCAAAAUUUGAGGUCCAUAAUGUGGUAAUUAGUGUCCAUGCACAGCCGGGCUUCGUCUUGGGCGUUUACCCGUACAGCCAUGUUGAAAUAAUCACUAUCUAUACCAGUUGUAUCCUUUAGCAAGUCUUUCAGUUGUUUAAGACUUAUACUAAUUGGAUAGGGCUUGCUGCUUUGAACCUAUAUUUCUCUACGAAACAAAGCACGAAGUUAACCCACAGGAUAAAAAUAACAAUUUGGACUGGUGCAUCGUAUAUAAAUUGGACUUACUUCAUGGCAUCUUCGUCGUUAACACCCAAUAUAUAUUUCCUAAGCUUGGAAAGUAAUUGGCUCUUGUUUAUUCUAUUCUUGGGCAUAUGUGAAGGAGGUUUGGUGUCAUUGUGUACCUUCUUUCCCUGUGAUAAUUCAGUAGGGGGAGGACAAUUCUUAUCCCACAUAAUGACAUCCUCUUUAUCCAAAGCCAAGGUUUGUGUCAGUACACCACCCCAAGGCACAAUUCAGUUUAUGUAUGCUUGCAGCCUAUCCAUAAACUGGUAGAAUACAUCAAGUAUCGAGAGGCUUGCAUCUUCUAAACUUACUGAUGUCUGCUGAUCGUCAUGCAAUCAGGCCUCAUGCCUAAUCUCGGUAUUUUUAGGAGAAGAUGCAGGUCAUGCAUUUUCGUGCAUAUAUCACUGGCAACAUGUUAGCCUAUCCAUAAAGCUCAAUUCUAGAAAUGUAGAUAAACUGAGUGCCCUCUAUGACAUGUGUGCAUUCAUUGCCCAAACGUGAGUGAUCUAAUGAUCUUUGUAAAAUUGUA